CAACCGGCCCAGGGCCGCGAGACAGUCACCGCGAGAGGGCGCGAGCCCGAACCUGUCUACGGAAGUCCCGCCCUCACUUCCGGCGGCGGAGGAUUGGGAGGGACUGAAGGCCGCUUCCGGCUCUGGUAGUGUAGGGGCUUCGGCACGUGUGUCAUUCCCCGGGAUUUGUGUAGUAACCCUGCUUCUGGUGAACUUGUCUGGCCGGCAUUCAUUUAAGGCCUAAGGAUGAAGGCGAGAAGAAAUAAAAAACAGAUCCCAAGCUUUCGCAAGUUAAUAAAAACUAGUAAAGUCAAACUUGAAAACAAGCUGAAAAAUAAGCAGUUUAAACAACAAAGCACUCUCAAGAAGUACCGAAAAGAACAGAGGAAACUAAGGCAAGCUGUGAAAGAUGCUGUGUCUAAGAAACCCAUUCCAUUGGAGAACCCAAAGGAAAAGCGACCAGGUAAAAGGAUUGAGAGGGAAGAAGAGGAAGAAGAAGAAGCCCUUCCUUUAGAUAUGAUGGAUGAAGAUGACUUACAGUUAAUGAAGGAUUUAGGACAAAGAGCAUCUUUUCUAACAAGAGAUCUUUCUUCUAGUGAGCCUGUUCAUGCGAAGAAACGGAAGCAUGAACGCAUUAUAGAUAAAUAUGAAAAAAUACCAAGAACUCUGCAAACUGCACCAGAGAAGGAACUGAUUCAUUUGCUUCCUAUCAAAGAUAAAAGUGGUAUAAUCCCACAGACUAGGGAGAAGCCAGUUACUGAUAGUAACAAAGAUGAAGAGGAUCAAGAAGAAGAGAGGGAACUUGAGGAAGAGAUCAUUGAAGAUCCUAUUCAAGAGCUGACCAUAGAAGAACAUUUGAUUGAGAGAAAGAAGAAAUUACAGGAGAAGAAGAUGCAUAUUGCAGCCUUGGCAUCUGCAAUAUUAUCAGAUCCAGAAAAUAAUAUUAAAAAAUUGAAAGAAUUACGUUCUAUGUUGAUGGAACAAGAUCCUGAUGUGGCUGUUACUGUUCGAAAGCUGGUAAUUGUUUCUCUGAUGGAGUUAUUUAAAGAUAUUACUCCUUCAUAUAAAAUCCGGCCCCUCACAGAAGCAGAAAAAUCUACUAAGACCCGAAAAGAAACCCAGAAGUUAAGAGAAUUUGAAGAAGGCCUGGUUAGCCAAUACAAGUUUUAUUUGGAAAAUCUGGAACAAAUGGUUAAAGAUUGGAAGCAGAGGAAGCUGAAGAAAAGUAAUGUAGUUUCCUUAAAGGCAUACAAAGGACUGGCAGAAGUCGCUGUGAAGAGCUUGUGUGAGCUGUUGGUGGCACUACCUCAUUUUAACUUUCACAACAACAUCAUCGUAUUGAUUGUCCCUCUCAUGAAUGACAUGUCAAAAUUGAUAUCUGAAAUGUGUUGUGAAGCUGUGAAGAAACUCUUUAAGCAAGAUAAAUUAGGCCAAGCUUCUCUUGGUGUAAUUAAAGUGAUUUCUGGUUUUGUGAAGGGCAGAAAUUAUGAAGUUAGGCCAGAGAUGUUAAAAACAUUUUUAUGCCUAAGAAUCAAGGAAGUAGAAGUGAAAAAAGAUACAGAAGACAUUAAUAAACCAAAAAAAUUUAUGACUUUCAAAGAAAAGAGAAAAUCUCUAUCAAGAAUGCAGAGAAAGUGGAAGAAAGCAGAAGAGAAACUAGAGCGAGAGCUUCGAGAGGCAGAAGCUUCAGAGAGUACCGAGAAAAAACUUAAACUGCACACAGAGACUCUGAAUAUUGUGUUUGUAACCUACUUCAGAAUAUUGAAGAAGGCCCAGAGGUCACCUCUCCUGCCAGCAGUUCUAGAAGGUCUUGCCAAGUUUGCUCACCUUAUAAAUGUGGAAUUUUUUGAUGAUCUGUUAGUAGUUCUUCAUACUCUCAUUGAGUCUGGUGACCUAAGCUAUCAAGAAAGUCUUCACUGUGUCCAGACUGCUUUUCAUAUUCUUUCUGGACAAGGUGAUGUUCUGAAUAUUGAUCCAAUGAAAUUCUACACACAUCUCUACAAAACACUGUUCAAAUUACAUGCAGGUGCUACCAAUGAAGGUGUUGAGAUUGUACUCCAGUGCCUUGAUGUUAUGCUAACUAAGCGCAGAAAGCAAGUUUCUCAGCAGCGAGCUCUUGCCUUCAUCAAACGCCUUUGUACCCUUGCUCUUCAUGUUCUUCCAAAUUCAAGUAUUGGCAUUUUAGCAACUACCAGAAUAUUAAUGCAUACUUUCCCCAAAACAGAUCUACUGCUUGACAGUGAAUCUCAGGGAAGUGGAGUUUUCCUUCCUGAACUGGAUGAGCCUGAGUACUGCAAUGCUCAGAACACUGCUCUGUGGGAACUGCAUGCUCUGCGGAGGCAUUAUCAUCCCAUAGUGCAGAGAUUUGCAGCCCACCUGAUCGCUGGAGCACCUUCUGAAGGCUCUGGAGCACUCAAACCAGAGUUGAGUCGAAGAUCUGCUACUGAACUUUUUGAGGCAUAUAGCAUGGCAGAAAUGACAUUCAAUCCUCCUGUUGAAUCUUCAAACCCCAAAAUAAAGGGUAAAUUUUUACAAGGGGAUUCAUUUUUGAAUGAAGAUUUAAAUCAGCUAAUCAAAAGAUACUCCAGUGAAGUUGCUACUGAAUCGCCUCUGGAUUUCACGAAAUAUUUGAAAACAUCACUACACUAGUAGAGGAAUGAAGUCAGUGGACUUUCUUGUAUAUUUGUGUGUGCAGAUGUACAUAAAGAUGAGUUGUUAACUUAGGAUCUUUUCUUUUUAUACAAGGAAAGCUUCCUAAGAAUGUCUAGGAAGAGGAGGAAGAAUGACCCUUUGCAUGGCACAGGGUUCUGCCCCUAUUCUGAAUAUGUCAUUCCAUCAAGGAGAUCAAAAGCCUUUUUUUCUCCCCAGUAUUUGGAAAUUACUUUCUUGAUGAUGCUGCCUUUUAAAAGCUUCACGUACAUUAUAGUUUUUUAAAAAAAUCUUUGGACUGGAUCUUACUGAAGUGCAGUUGCUAUAUUAAAAUUAGGGCAUAGAGCACAGAAAAAUCAAGACCAUGAGAAGACAUUUUACCAUUUAGCUACUUUUUAUAACUAAAUACUCUUUAAAUAUUUUUAUUUCAAUACUGUGGAUGGAAAUGAGAAGCAUUCUAAAUUUGAGUUAAUAUAUUUUUAUGAAGAUAUUUGAGAAAAGAAAAAAAUAGCUUGUAUUCAGGUUCAUUGGCUUUUGCUGGAUGAUCCACCUAAAGAAGUUACCUAAUUUGGCCUUUUAAAAAAGGUGUUAGUGUUUAUUAUAGCUACUUUCAAGGAAAGUUUGAAUAUGAUUCUAGUCUCUGAAGUUCUUCAUGUUUUCUGACAUUCCCUGGAGGGUGACUGGGGAAGAAUUGCUCCAGGGUAGAAGAACCAGGCCCAAGACUUUACCAUUCUGUUCUAGAGACAAAGGAUACUCAAUGAGGAGCUUUUUUCCCCUCUUGGAACAGACGAAGUCUCACUCUUGUUGCCCAGGCUAAAGCGCAAUGGCAUGAUCUCGGCUCACUGCAACCUCUGCCUCCCAGGUUCAAGCGAUUCUCCUGCCUCAGCCUCCCAAGUAGCUGGGAUUACAGGUGCCUGCCACCACGCCCAGCUAAUUUUUGUAUUUUUAGUAGAGAUGGGGUUUCACCAUGUUGGCCAGGCUGGUCUCGAACUCCUGACCUCAGGCGAUCCACCCGCCUUGGCCGCACAAAGUGUUGGGAUUACAGGCGUGAGCCACCAUGCCCAGCAAUUUUUGUACUUUUUGUAAAGACAGGGUUUUGCCAUGUCAGCCAUGCUGGUCUCAAACUCAUGAGCUCAAGUGAUCUGCCCACCUCAGCCUCCCAAACUGCUGGGAUUACAGGUGUGAGCCACUGGGUCGGUUUUUUUUUUUUUUCAGUUAGAGACAGGGCCUCACUCUGUCAUCCAGGCUGCAGUGCAGUGGCCAGUCAUAGCUCACUGCAGCCUCCAACUCCUGUGCUCAAGUAAUCCUCCUGCCUCAGCCUCCUAAAACUGGGAUUACAGGCAUGAGCCACCAUGUGAGGCAAUUUCCCAGCCUUAAGAGGCACACACUCCCCUUUGAGGUCCCUGUUGUUCAGGAACUUCACUCAUAAAAUGAGCCAUCAGUGCACAGACAUUUGUUACAAUAAUUUAUGCUGAGGAAAGGACUGAGGUGAGGAAGGGAGAGGCUUUUACCUGCUGAAUGACAUCCUGUGCAGUGCUGACGCGGGGUGCUUUGAUGACUGUUCGAGGUUGCUCUGGAGAAACAUCAUGCACUUGGACAAAGAAACUCUCCUCCUCUGAGCUCAAGAUCACCUCUUUGUCAUCUUGAACAAUGUUUUUCUCUUCUAGGUUCUAUGUUUAAAAAGAAAAAAAUGUGAGUAAAUAAUAGGUUUAUGCAGAAUAAAGAAAGACAAAUCUAGCAAAAA